GUUAACGUGGUGCGAGCGGCGCCGGUAAGACGGAGGGUGCUAGCGUGGUUCGGAGUUUCGGGGGUGAAAGCGUGGGUAGGCGGCUGUGUAAUGCGGAGUGGAAAUGCCAGAGGUUGACGUGGGAAUGGCAUUAGAUACUGGGAAGUGAGAGUAGGGGAGAGGUGGGUAGAAUUGCAGGUGUAGCGGUGAAAUGCGUAGAGAUCUGGAGGAAUACCGGUGGCGAAGGCGGCCCCCUGGACAAAGACUGACGCGCAGGUGCGAAAGCGUGGGGAGCAAACAGGAUUAGAUACCCCGGUAGUC
rnacentral:rRNA from 1 species